rnacentral:rRNA from 1 species
UACGGGGGGGGCAAGCGUUGUUCGGAAUUACUGGGCGUAAAGGGCUCGUAGGCGGCCAACUAAGUCAGACGUGAAAUCCCUCGGCUUAACCGGGGAACUGCGUCUGAUACUGGAUGGCUUGAGUUUGGGAGAGGGAUGCGGAAUUCCAGGUGUAGCGGUGAAAUGCGUAGAUAUCUGGAGGAACACCGGUGGCGAAGGCGGCAUCCUGGACCGAAACUGACGCUGAGGAGCGAAAGCCAGGGGAGCAAACGGG